rnacentral:rRNA from 1 species
GAUGAACGCUGGCGGCGUGCCUAAUACAUGCAAGUCGAACGAACAGACGAUGAGCUUGCUCCUCUACCGUUAGCGACUGACGGGUGGGUGACACGUGGAUAACCUACCUAUAAGACUGGGGUAACUUCGUGAAACCGGUGCCGAUACCAGAUCAUAUGUUCAACCGCAUGAUGCAAUAGUUCAUGGCGCUUUGCGUGUCACUUAUAGAUGAAUCCGCGUCGCAUUAGCUAGUUGGUAAGGUAACGGCUUACCAAGGCGACGAUGCGUAGCCGACCUGAGAGGGUGAUCGGCCACACUGGAACUGAGACACGGUCCAGACUCCUACGGGAGGCAGCAGUAGGGAAUAUUCCGCAAUGGGCGCAAGCCUGACGGAGCAACGCCGCGUGAGUGAUGAAGGUCUUCGGAUCGUAAAACCCUUUUAUUAGGGAAGAAAAAAUGUGGAUGUAACUAUGGACGUUUUGACGGUACCCAAUCAGAAAGCACCGGCUAACUACGUG